rnacentral:rRNA from 1 species
CUUUCGAUGGUAAGGUAUUGGCUUACCAUGGUUUCAACGGGUAACGGGGAAUUAGGGUUCGAUUCCGGAGAGGGAGCCUGAGAAACGGCUACCACAUCCAAGGAAGGCAGCAGGCGCGCAAAUUACCCAAUCCCGACACGGGGAGGUAGUGACAAUAAAUACUGAUACAGGGCUCUUUUGGGUCUUGUAAUUGGAAUGAGUACAAUUUAAACCUCUUAACGAGGAACAAUUGGAGGGCAAGUCUGGUGCCAGCAGCCGCGGUAAUUCCAGCUCCAAUAGCGUAUAUUAAAGUUGUUGCAGUUAAAAAGCUCGUAGUUGAACCUUUGGCCUGGCUGGCAGGUCCGCCUCACCGCGUGUACUUGUCCGGCCGGGCCUUCUUUUCUGGAGAACCGCAUGCCCUUCACUGGGUGUGUUGGGGACCAGGACUUUUACUUUGAAAAAAUUAGAGUGUUCAAAGCAGGCCUUUGCUCGAAUACGUUAGCAUGGAAUAAUAGAAUAGGACGUGCGGUCCUAUUUUGUUGGUUUCUAGGACCGCCGUAAUGAUUAAUAGGGACAGUCGGGGGCAUCAGUAUUCAAUUGUCAGAGGUGAAAUUCUUGGAUUUAUUGAAGACUAACUACUGCGAAAGCAUUUGCCAAGGAUGUUUUCAUUAAUCAGUGAACGAAAGUUAGGGGAUCGAAGACGAUCAGAUACCGUCGUAGUCUUAACCAUAAACUAUGCCGACUAGGGAUCGGGCGGUGUUUCUAUUUUGACUCGCUCGGCACCUUACGAGAAAUCAAAGU